rnacentral:rRNA from 1 species
ACGAACGCUGGCGGCGUGCUUAACACAUGCAAGUCGAACGGAAAGGCCCCUUUGGGGGUCCUCGAGUGGCGAACGGGUGAGUAACACGUGAGUAACCUGCCCUUGACUUCGGGAUAACUUCAGGAAACUGGGGCUAAUACCGGAUAGGAAUCCUUGCUGCAUGGUGGGGGUUGGAAAGCUUCGGCGGUUUUGGAUGGACUCGCGGCUUAUCAGCUUGUUGGUGGGGUAGUGGCUUACCAAGGCUUUGACGGGUAGCCGGCCUGAGAGGGCGACCGGCCACAUUGGGACUGAGAUACGGCCCAGACUCCUACGGGAGGCAGCAGUGGGGAAUAUUGCACAAUGGGCGGAAGCCUGAUGCAGCAACGCCGCGUGCGGGAUGACGGCCUUCGGGUUGUAAACCGCUUUCAGCAGGGGCGAAGCUUGUGGUGACGGUACCUGCAGAAGAAGCACCAGCUAACUACGUG